rnacentral:rRNA from 1 species
AGAGUUUGAUGGUGGCUCAGGACGAACGCUGGCGGCGCGCCUAACACAUGCAAGUCGAACGAGAGAUGAGGAGCUUGCUCUUCAAAUCGAGUGGCGAACGGGUGAGUAACGCGUGAGGAACCUGCCUCAAAGAGGGGGACAACAGUUGGAAACGACUGCUAAUACCGCAUAAGCCCACAGCUCGGCAUCGAGCAGAGGGAAAAGGAGUGAUCCGCUUUGAGAUGGCCUCGCGUCCGAUUAGCUAGUUGGUGAGGUAAUGGCCCACCAAGGCGACGAUCGGUAGCCGGACUGAGAGGUUGAACGGCCACAUUGGGACUGAGACACGGCCCAGACUCCUACGGGAGGCAGCAGUGGGGAAUAUUGCACAAUGGGGGAAACCCUGAUGCAGCGACGCCGCGUGGAGGAAGAAGGUCUUCGGAUUGUAAACUCCUGUUGUUGAGGAAGAUAAUGACGGUACUCAACAAGGAAGUGACGGCUAACUACGUGCCAGCAGCCGCGGUAAAACGUAGGUCACAAGCGUUGUCCGGAAUUACUGGGUGUAAAGGGAGCGCAGGCGGGAGAACAAGUUGGAAGUGAAAUCCAUGGGCUCAACCCAUGAACUGCUUUCAAAACUGUUUUUCUUGAGUAGUGCAGAGGUAGGCGGAAUUCCCGGUGUAGCGGUGGAAUGCGUAGAUAUCGGGAGGAACACCAGUGGCGAAGGCGGCCUACUGGGCACCAACUGACGCUGAGGCUCGAAAGUGUGGGUAGCAAACAGGAUUAGAUACCCUGGUAGUCCACACCGUAAACGAUGAUUACUAGGUGUUGGAGGAUUGACCCCUUCAGUGCCGCAGUUAACACAAUAAGUAAUCCACCUGGGGAGUACGACCGCAA